CCACAACUUACAGGGAUUAAAGGGCCUGAAGGAACUGUGUAUUCUGAUGGAGUUUUUACUCUUAAGAUUCAAAUACCUGAAAGAUAUCCUUUUCAGCCACCCAUUGUGACUUUCACCACCCCUAUUUACCAUCCCAACAUUGAUGAUGGAGGGCGAAUCUGUCUGGAUAUUCUUAACUUACCACCCAAGGGGGCAUGGCAA